ensembl:lncRNA
GUGUGUGUGUGUGUGUGGGGGGCUUUGGGUGCAGGUGGUUUAACUUAUUUAAGAGUGGCGCAAGAGUUACAAUAAUGUGGGAGUAGGUAAAAAGUGGUGGAGAGAAAGAGACAAUGGAAGAAGCAUUGAUUCUCGAUAUUAUGGACUUCAAAGUCAAUAAUAGGUUACCUGAUGCCGGCCUAACAAAACAAUAGAGAUGCACGAUAUAAAGAAGAUAACACUUUGCUCAAGGAUGGAGAGCUUCAUUACGUUUGUAGAAGACGGAAGGAGAGCGAGCGUUUGGAUAAGGUAGUCACCUCAGCUGCCAAGGCCAACAUAAUAUUCGAAGAAAUGCUCUGCAGUUCUAUCUGUGGUCACUACGAUGUGGAGAAAAACGCACAAUGCGGUGAUCAUCCGAAACGACUGGCCUGGCAUGGAGGCGGACAUCCGCAAAUGGACUACAGAAAGGGAAGUCUGGGGCCCGCUGCUUGAGCUGCUCCCCCCGUGACCCAACCCUGGAUAUAUAUAUGAAGAUGAGAUGAGGAGAGAUGACAAUUGACUUCAGGUGGCCCAGUGUCCUGAGUGCCAAAGAAAUCAGGCCAGUCUCAAAGAAAGUACCCACUACUGUACCACCAGAGGUAACAACCAUUUGAGCUGGUGGGGAGGAACCUCAUGAGGCACAGUUUAACAGAGUGGUAAUCAUUACAUUUGUGUGAUGGUUGAUUUUUCACCAAGUGGGCAGCGGCUACCCUCUGAAGAGUAACUCUGCAGAGGAGGUGAGCAAUUGUAUUCUUGAUACAACUUUAAGAACCAGGUAGCUAGAGAACCUUCCGUAUAUCUUAGGGAUAAGGAACUGCAGCCUGCAAUUUUCAGCAUCAGGACCAAGAACUAGUUAACAAAAAAGUAUAGCCCAUCUUUUGUUGUUGUUUGGCAGGAAGGCAAAUACCCAUCUUAUGUGCCACAGAACCUAAGGUAAGUGGCUCUAUUUGUAUAGGUCGUCAGGGAGUGUGGUCAUUAUUACUUGACUAAAUAGGUGAGAUUUUAACACCACUUGGUAUCUUUGUACUUUAGGUGACACUGAGAAGGUGGAGCGUUUGCUGAUGAGGGAGGCGGUUUUUAAAGGACUCUCAAAGCAGACAAACAUUUGACUGAACCACUUUGGCUAUAACGCGGGUUCAAUUAAAUUACGCUUGACUUAGUUUGUAUCAAAAGUUUUUUUUUAUUGCAUCAACACGUGUGGGUAUAUCUCAAUACAGAUUGGUUUUUCUGACUUGCAUUUCAAAUUUUCCUUUAGUUUGAUAAAUAUUGCUGUUUUAAAUGUUUGUCUCACCUAAGCCGCAUGCCAACAUUGUAUUUAAUUUACUUUUUAUAUUUUCUUUUUACAUAUCUUUGAUUAGAUUCAUCUUUAUACAAUGUACAAGAUAAAAAUACCAUGACGCUAAUAAUAAAUUCCUUCUGUUUUUAUGGAUGUAUGAUAUAUUUAUGGUCACGUCAUAACUGAGUCCAAUGUGUUUAAAAUCCCUCCUCCUUACAUCGUCAUGCAAGGCUGUUUUUCAAUGGCACCUUUUUGUUAAGCGAACAUUUUUCAAUUAACGUUGAAUGCUGGUUUCAUGGGACCUUGUGGAGGCCAGCAGGCCAAAGGUGGAAAUACAUGCUCCAUUACUUCACUUCCAGUGUACAGAGAAUAUCAAAGACAUAGAAUAGCAUACAUUUUACGACAGUAAAGAACACAGAGUACAUUCCAUACAAAAACAGAGUGGGACUAAAACUAAAUAUUGUGUCAAGUUGAACCAAGAGACACGAUCACUACUACAUGAUGAAACAUAAGAUGAAACGCUGCUGAUGGCGUGACCUUAUAUUUGCAUAUAUUCAUGAAAUAUCUCCUACCACAUUCUCAUUUGAGUCAAAGCUGGUAGAACCGGAGAAUGGCUCUUCAAAUUCCACAAUAAGUCAAAACAUGGAUUCAAUUAGAGCCUGUCCUUUCAAAUUGUGCUGUCAUAGAAUAAACAAACCACAAAGACAAUUCCUUGUGUUUUUAGAAUAAUUCAAAACUUCAGGAAGAGAAUGAAGUGGGUGUUCCAGUGUUUUUCAUGUUUACGUGAACACUCGUACAGGUUCUCGCUCUCUCUUGCUCUCAUGUCUUUUCCAAACACAAGCAUGUUAGGGCUCAUGUUAGGGAUCAUGUUAGGGCUCAUGUUAGGGAUUAUGUUAGGGUGCAUGUUCGGGUACAUGUAGGGUGCAUGUUUGGGUACAUGUAGGGUGUGUGAGGAUGCUCAGCAGGGUGCUGCUAUAAAGCAGCAUGUGAGGUGUGUUCAGUGAGUUAAACCCUGAGUUAAAUCAAGUUUAAAUCAGUACGUAUUUCUUGGGUUAAACAAUACAGUAUAUAGUAGGCUGAAUUUCCCACAGGCUUGUUUUUUUUACAUCUGGUGCAGAUAUUCAUUUAUAUAUAUUUAAAUAUAUAUACAUUAGAUAUAUUUUCAACUUGGCCAAUGUAUCAUUGAUUUGGAGGUAUACAUAUAGAGAGAGUGUGUGUGUGUGUGUGUGUGUGUGUGUGUGUGUGUGUGUGUGGGAGGGGGGGGGGGGGGUGUGUGUGUGGUAUGAAUCUGGGUCUGUCAUCCCCUCUCACACUAAAUUGACAAGCAGCAGUGUUUUAACACUCGCUCACAUUGCGUUCUGGGAUAUCCAAUGGGAGGGAGACUGCCACACUGGCAGUGUUUUCCUCCACAUCUACCCAACAACACAACAUGAAAUAAACCCUUUAACAGUCACCCUCAGCUAACUCUUUAAAAUACAAACAGCAUUGUUGUCUACUCUGAAGUCUUGUCUGGUCACCACCCGCUAGCCUUAGCCCUAGAGUAUUAUACGACAAGAUAAUGCAGACCUAAGGUCCCGAGUGGCAUCGGACUAACAUCACAAAGCUGCGAGUCAGACGUAUUAUUCUCUUUCCCUUAAAACGCAUCAGAAAAGAAAAAAAUCCCAGUGUUUCACCUGCAGAACUCAUUAAAUCCACUAGAUGGCGACCAUUCACAACAGUUAUGCUGCGCACAAGUUGUUACAGUUCUGCAUUGUCCAUAAUACAAAUCACAGACUCUUGUCUCCAUACUUUGUCUUCGAGAUUAAACUAAAUCAAACUAUGUUUAUUUUUUUCAUUUAUAUACUGUGAAUUAUUGUUUUAUAAAGAAUGAUGAAAUUGUACGACAUUAACCUCUUAACAUGUUGUUUUAUCACAUAUAAAAUAUACCUAUUGGUGGGGGUAUUGGUUAGGACCUGUGUCAACAGGUGGGUAAUUUGGCUCGACCAAUUAUGGAAACCACUCUGAAAGCCUGAGUUUAGAUUACGUAGACGACACUGUCAUUAAGAUACACAACGUUUAAGACAAGAGUAUGUCAACACCUACUUUGGGCUAUAUCAAAGCCUUCAAAGAUCUACUUGAGCGGAACGCAGUACAUUUAGACUCAGGGAGACAGUGACCUCGUUAUACACGAUGCUGCACCUCGUUAACAUGAUGCUGCAUCUCGUUAACAUGAUGCUGCACCUCGUUAUAG